UGAAACAACCAAUCCUGGUCCUACUGAGC
rnacentral:sRNA from 1 species